GCGCACGGUGGCUUAGUGGUUAUAACAUUCGCCUCACACCUCCAGGGUCGGGGGUUCGAAUUCCCAAUGUGGCC